AGAGUUUGAUCCUGGCUCAGGAUGAACGCUGGCGGCGUGCUUAACACAUGCAAGUCGAGCGAAGCGAUUUAAGUGAAGUUUUCGGAUGGAUCUUAGAUUGACUGAGCGGCGGACGGGUGAGUAACGCGUGGAUAACCUGCCUCACACAGGGGGAUAACAGUUAGAAAUGACUGCUAAUACCGCAUAAGCGCACGGUACCGCAUGGUACAGUGUGAAAAACUCCGGUGGUGUGAGAUGGAUCCGCGUCUGAUUAGGUAGUUGGUGAGGUAACGGCCCACCAAGCCGACGAUCAGUAGCCGACCUGAGAGGGUGACCGGCCACAUUGGGACUGAGACACGGCCCAAACUCCUACGGGAGGCAGCAGUGGGGAAUAUUGCACAAUGGGCGAAAGCCUGAUGCAGCAACGCCGCGUGAGUGAAGAAGUAUCUCGGUAUGUAAAGCUCUAUCAGCAGGGAAGAAAAUGACGGUACCUAACUAAGAAGCCCCGGCUAACUACGUGCCAGCAGCCGCGGU
rnacentral:rRNA from 1 species